rnacentral:rRNA from 1 species
AUGAACGCUGGCGGCGUGCCUAAUACCUGCAAGUCGAGCGAACAGAUAAGGAGCUUGCUCCUUUGACGUUAGCGGCGGACGGGUGAGUAACACGUGGGUAACCUACCUAUAAGACUGGGAUAACUUCGGGAAACCGGAGCUAAUACCGGAUAAUAUUUCGAACCGCAUGGUUCGAUAGUGAAAGAUGGUUUUGCUAUCACUUAUAGAUGGACCCGCGCCGUAUUAGCUAGUUGGUAAGGUAACGGCUUACCAAGGCGACGAUACGUAGCCGACCUGAGAGGGUGAUCGGCCACACUGGAACUGAGACACGGUCCAGACUCCUACGGGAGGCAGCAGUAGGGAAUCUUCCGCAAUGGGCGAAAGCCUGACGGAGCAACGCCGCGUGAGUGAUGAAGGUCUUCGGAUCGUAAAACUCUGUUAUUAGGGAAGAACAUACGUGUAAGUAACUGUGCACGUCUUGACGGUACCUAAUCAGAAAGCCACGGCUAACUACGUG